rnacentral:tRNA from 1 species
GCUGGCAUGGCUCAAUUGGUAGAGCACCCGAUUUGUAAUCGGGCGGUUGGGAGUUCGAGUCUCUCUGCCAGCACCA